AUUGUACUCCCUUCGUCCGGAAAUACUUGUCCUAAAAAUAAAUGAAUCUAGACUUAUUUUAGUUAUAGAUACAUCCAUUAUAUCCAUUUUUAGGAUAAGUAUUUCCGGACGAAGGGAGUAUUAU
rnacentral:pre_miRNA from 2 species